ensembl:lincRNA
GCAUUUUCCUUUAAUGCGGGCUGGAAAGAGGUGGCGUAGUUUUUCUGCCCUGAAAAGCAAAUACCAUUUGUUCACUAGAACAGACGCAGGCAUCCUGUCGCCUCUCCCGUGUGCUGCCUUCCUUCCCUCGCUGGGUACUUCCGGGUGGUCACUCCUCAGCAUGGAGGGGCGGGAGGGGCCGCACAGGGCCUUGUGCCCCAGUCACAGGGAGGGCCCACGGAGAGGUGUGCAAGGGAACAUGUCCUCAAAUGCAAAAGCAGCCGUGGGCUUGCUAGGGCUUGGGUUUGAAGUAUCCCCUGAAACUUCCUGUGGGAGGACUUGGUUGGCUGUUGAUGGUCUUCGCGGAAGUGACAAGGUCACGAGGGCUCCAACUUCCCCAAGUGGAUGGAUCCUUUGAGGAGACCGCAGCUUGAGGGCGCAAUGGGAGCUGAUGGGAACAGGCUGUGCCCAGUGGAAGGAAGUAGGUCGCGAGGAGGUGACCUUGGGGGCUUUACCUAGUCCCAGCCCCUCCUCUCUGGCUCCUUCCUCCGCGUGUUUUCUUCCCAGCUGCUAUGAGGGUGCACAGAGUUUAAGUGACUUAGUAGCUGCCGUAGGUUCUCAAGCAGGAAAUCCAGGAAAUGGUGUUGUGGGCAGCACGUUCUACCGUGUCCUGGGCGCUGGAGCUCGGAGACUCCGGGGCAGGAGCUGGGUCAGAGCAUCAAAGGCAAAAUACACGAGACUUUGACCAGCCAGAAUAUGAAGAAAAGACAGAAACUAAGAUAGACAGGGUCUUGAAUGUAUGCCGUGGACCUGUUUUCCACUCUGCAAAAUGUGAUCCUCAGCCUUUGUGUUGGACAGCUUCCUGUCACUGUGAUAAAAUACCCAACAUAGACAACUCGAAGACAGAAAGAUUUAUCUUGGCUCCUGGUUUUGGAUGUUUCAGUCCAUGGUACGUGGGUCUAUUGCUUCAGGCCUGUGGAGGAGCAGAACCAUCACGGCAGAAGGGUGUAGCCGAGGAAAGGACAUGGGGGCACAGGGUAUGGCAGUCAGGAGGCAGGGUGAGAGAGCCAGAGGAGGAGGGGCUGGGACUGGACAUAGUCCUGGAGGCCACACCCCACAAGCCACUUCUUUCAACUAGUCCCGCCUCCUGUCUUCAUCACCUCCCAAUAAUGCCAUCAGAUUGUGAUGUCACUGAUGACUUAGUCCACUGAUGAAAUUGGAGGCUUUGUGAUCCAAUCACCUUCCAAAAGCCCAUCAGCACUCAAGCCUGCAACACAACGAACCUCUUGGAUCCUAAGCAAAGCAGCCUUUAAACCGGGAUGGAAAUUUUUAACAAUUAGAAUCAACUAGUAGUCUGACACCAUAUCAGGACAAAAUAAGGUCACGCAGCCCACCACGUAGCUCGUCUGUUAGGUCACGCAGCCUUGGCUGACUGCAUCCGGCUGCAAACCAGAGAAAACCUGACGCAGCUCAGUUCAACGGCACCCAGCAGCACAGCCUGUACUUUUAGUCCCGAACAUACCCUGUUUGCUGACUUGUUUCAAGGACUUUCUGCUCAGCAACGAAGGAUAACGGAUGCUGCCCAAUAAAAAUUCACCACGCUUUUAAGCCUUUGUACUUCCUGCUUGCAAAACCUAUGUAAACUAAGCCCAAAGCCGGCUCUGGGCUGAUGCUUUGGGAGUGAUUUCCCAUCAGCCUGCUGCUGGCGUAAGAAAGUUGGUUGCCUUCCAACUCCUUGGUGCAGAGCGUUUUCCACCGUGAGGUACCGGCUCCACAACAAAACCACGUGGCUCCCGGCUGCCUCUCCAGUCUCCCUCUCUGCCUCUCUUCCCUCAUGGGCUCCGUUUCAGCCACACUGGCCUUGACAUUCCUUAGACUUCAAGCGUUUAUCCCUGCCGCCUUUGCUCUUCCUGCUCCCAUUGCACGGUGCAGCUUGUGCACCGAGACGGGGCUUUGUCUGAGCGCCUCCUCCUCAGUGGGGUGCUCUUCCCUCCCACCCUAAAAUCGCUCCCCUUUCACAGCCAGUCUACCCUUUAUUUCCACCAUGGUGCUUAUUUAUCACUCGGUGUGAGUGGACUUAGCAGUUUGUCUUCUGUCUGCACCCAUAGAAUAUAAGGCCCAGAGAGCUUUGUUUGGGUCCUUCUUUCAUCCUUGAGACGCCUUACGAAUUCCAUGAGCAGAUUUUUUAUUUUGUUUUGUUGCAGUAUAGUGGGUUGGACCAAAUGAGCACUGAGCUACAUCCCCGGCGCUUUUUAUUUUUUAAUUUUGAGACAGGGUCUCACUAAUUUGCCAAGGCUAGCCUUGAACCAGGUAGAGUCCUCAAGGUCACACUCCAUGAUCCAUUCCCUUCAACUAAUCCUUACUUCCUGUUUCCAUCACCUCCAAUGAAGAUCCUCUUGCCUCAGCCUCCCAAACAGCUAGGAAUACAGCCGUGUACCACCAGGCCUAGCUCAAUGAGCAAUUUUUGGUCUCAGUGAGUAAAAUGUGGCCAUAUGGCAAAGUUACCAAAGAAAAGCUUCUGAGAGUGAGGAGUAGGGGCUCUGAAGAGGAGGGAGCCUUGAGAAUCUGACAAUACUGCUUAGAGUUGGGAAGAGUAAGCCACUUGGGGAGUGUCUGCCGCCAGGUGUGUAUCCUCCGAUGUGGGAAAGACCGGAAUGUGUUUGUAUUUUACUUAUUUAUUUAUUAGUGCUUGGGCAUGAACUCAGAGCCUUGCACAUGCUAGGUUAGUGCUGGGCCACUGAGCCACUCCCCUAUCCCUGGGUUUGAAUUGGACGAUCCUUUAGACUUUUUUUUUGGUACCGGGAAUCAAACUCAGGACCUCGCCUUGCAAGGCGGGUGCUUGUGCCGCUGAGCUAUAUCCCCAGCCCAAGACUUUUUCUUAUUGUAGAAUUUUAUGAAUUUUCAUAGGCCAGGCUGCCUUUUUCUUGCUAAAACAAUUUUUAAAAAAUUUUUGGUCUACUAAUAUAGUUUUUCUAUGUGAAUACACCUCCAAAGUUUUCAAUGUGACAGUGGGGCCCAACUGUUCAAAAGCAUGCCCGUUUUCUGAAACAUAGUCUGGAAUCUGUAAGAUUGAGAUGAGAAAGAUUUUGGUUUCAUGGAAACUAUGUGCCAUUCUCUGAGUGCAUCUGAGGAAUGAUGGAAAUCUACCUGAUUUUUCUUUUUUCCAUAUCCGACGUGCUUACCACCCUCAGAAAUAACUGCUGAUGUUGCUUUCUGAGCAUCUUUUUAGAUAAUACGUGGCGUCCAUCCCAAGGAGAAUGACUUAGCACUCGACAGCUGAGAAAGGAAAUGAAGGCUCCUGUUGUAAGGACGGCAGCAUUCUAGGCAGUCAGUCAGGACUCUAUGUGUAUGGACAGACAGACAACAUAGUGAACAAGACUCUGGUAUGCUUUUCCUGCGAGGGAGACAGAAGCUUUCUGUUUUUGAAGAGAACAAUAUCCAGGAGUGGUCGCGCACACCUGUAAUCCCAGCACUCAGGAAGCUGAGGCAGGAGGAUCGUUUCGAGUUUGAGGCCAGCCUGAGAAACAAAGUGAGCUGAAGGCCAGCCUGAACUGCACAGUGAGACCCUGUCUCAAAAAGAAAAAAAAAAAAAAAGACAAGAGUAGAUGGGUAGUAUUAGCACAGAAUCCAGAGGACACUGAACACAGAUGUCUGUGUGGUUUUAUGAAUUUAAAGAAAACAAAUUACAGUGUUUAUAGCAGAGUCUGUAUUUCUUAGUUGGAGAAAAGGGACGCAAUGUGAGCGCAGAGCAAGCCCAGGCAGCUUCCAGCUCUGUCUCCAGCACGGCCUUCGCCUGUCCUCACACAGCUACGAGCGUGUCUUCAGAAUCUGGGCCUCUUUCCCUGGUUAUGUGCUGAGAUUUUUUUUUUUUUUGGAGACAUGCAGUUCAGGCUGGCCUUGAACUCACUUUGUAGGCCAGGC